GCGCUCUUAGUUCAGCUCGGUAGAACAUGGGUCUCCAAAACCCAAUGUCGUAGGUUCAAGUCCUACAGAGCGUG
rnacentral:tRNA from 4 species